UACGUAGGGGGCGAGCGUUGUCCGGAAUUAUUGGGCGUAAAGGGCUCGUAGGCGGUUUGUCGCGUCGGGAGUGGAAUCCACUGGCUUAACUGGUGGCUUGCUUUCGAUACGGGCAGACUGGAGGUAUGCAGGGGAGAACGGAAUUCCUGGUGUAGCGGUGAAAUGCGUAGAUAUCGAGAGGAACACCUGAGGUGAAGACGGGUUGCUGGGCCGACACUGACGCUGAAGCGCGAAAGCCAGGGGAGCAAACGGG
rnacentral:rRNA from 1 species